rnacentral:rRNA from 1 species
AGAGUUUGAUCAUGGCUCAGAACGAACGCUGGCGGCGUGCUUAACACAUGCAAGUCGAACGCGAACGAGUUCUUCGGAACUUUAGUAGAGUGGCGCACGGGUGAGUAACGCGUAAGUUAUCUACCCUCCCAUCUGGAAUAACUCACCGAAAGGUGUGCUAAUACCGGAUACGUUGAUUUAUCAAGAAAGGUGGCCUCUAUUUAUAAGCUACCGUGGGGGGAUGAGCUUGCGUACCAUUAGCUAGUUGGUAGGGUAAUGGCCUACCAAGGCAACGAUGGUUAGCGGGUCUGAGAGGAUGAUCCGCCACACUGGAACUGGAACACGGACCAGACUCCUACGGGAGGCAGCAGUGAGGAAUAUUGCGCAAUGGGGGAAACCCUGACGCAGCGACGCCGCGUGGAUGAUGAAGGCCUUUGGGUCGUAAAAUCCUGUCAGAUGGAAAGAAAUGCUAUUGGUUUAAUAUGCCAUUAGUUUGACGGUACCAUCAAAGGAAGCACCGGCUAACUCCGUGCCAGCAGCCGCGGUAAUACGGAGGGUGCAAGCGUUGUUCGGAAUUACUGGGCGUAAAGCGCGCGUAGGUGGCUUUUUAAGUCAGAUGUGAAAGUCCACGGCUCAACCGUGGAAGUGCAUUUGAAACUGGAAAGCUUGAGUAUUGGAGGGGGUAGUGGAAUUCCCGGUGUAGAGGUGAAAUUCGUAGA